UCUCUGAUGAUCCAGUGGUUAGGACUCAGUGCUUUCACUGCUGUGGCCAGGGUUCAGUUCCUGGUCAGAAAA
rnacentral:tRNA from 1 species